AACGAACGCUGGCGGCAGGCUUAACACAUGCAAGUCGAGCGCCCCGCAAGGGGAGCGGCAGACGGGUGAGUAACGCGUGGGAAUCUACCCAUCUCUACGGAAUAACGCAUGGAAACGUGUGCUAAUACCGUAUACGUCCUUCGGGAGAAAGAUUUAUCGGAGAUGGAUGAGCCCGCGUUGGAUUAGCUAGUUGGUGGGGUAAAGGCCUACCAAGGCGACGAUCCAUAGCUGGUCUGAGAGGAUGAUCAGCCACACUGGGACUGAGACACGGCCCAGACUCCGACGGGAGGCAGGAGUGGGGAAUAUUGGACGAUGGGAGCAAGCCUGAGCCAGCCCUGCCGCGUGAGUGAUGAAGGCCCUAGGGUUGUAAAGCUCUUUCACCGGUGAAGAUAAUGACGGUAACCGGAGAAGAAGCCCCGGCUAACUUCGUGCCAGCCGCCGCAGUAAGAC
rnacentral:rRNA from 1 species